rnacentral:rRNA from 1 species
UAAGGAAGGUCCGGGCGUUAUCCGGAUUUAUUGGGUUUAAAGGGAGCGUAGGCGGGUUAUCAAGUCAGCGGUAAAAUCGUGGAGCUCAACUCCAUCCAGCCGUUGAAACUGAUGAUCUUGAGUGGGCGAGAAGUAUGCGGAAUGCGUGGUGUAGCGGUGAAAUGCAUAGACAUCACGCAGAACCCCGAUUGCGAAGGCAGCAUACCGGCGCCCUACUGACGCUGAGGCACGAAAGUGCGGGUAUCGAACAGG